rnacentral:rRNA from 1 species
AGAAUCAACGCUGGCGGCGUGCCUAACACAUGCAAGUCGAACGAGAAAGUGGAGCAAUCCAUGAGUAAAGUGGCGCACGGGUGAGUAACACGUGCUAACCUACCCUUGAGUGGGGGAUAACCUAGAGAAAUCUGGGCUAAUACCGCAUAAUACCUUCGGGUCAAAGGAGCAAUUCGCUUAAGGAGGGGGUCGCGGCCGAUUAGUUAGUUGGCGGGGUAAUGGCCCACCAAGACUGUGAUCGGUA